rnacentral:rRNA from 1 species
UACGGGGGGGGCAAGCGUUGUUCGGAAUUACUGGGCGUAAAGGGCUCGUAGGCGGCCAACUAAGUCAGACGUGAAAUCCCUCGGCUUAACCGGGGAACUGCGUCUGAUACUGGUUGGCUUGAGUGUGGGAGAGGGAUGCGGAAUUCCAGGUGUAGCGGUGAAAUGCGUAGAUAUCGGGAGGAACACCUGUGGCGAAAGCGGCGCACUGGACCACAACUGACGCUGAGGCGCGAAAGCUAGGGGAGCAAACAGG